ensembl:lncRNA
UGGAAUGUCCAUGGGGUGUCCAUGGAAUCGAACUAUGGGGUGUCUAUGGAAUGUCCAUGGAAUGUCCAUGGAAUGUCCAUAGGGUGUCCAUGGGGUGUCCAUGGGGUCAGACUUUGGUGUGUCCAUGGAAUGUUCAUGGGGUCAGGCUUUGGGAUGUCCAUGGGGUACCCAUGGGAUGUCCUUGGGGUCAAACUUUGGGGUGUCCAUGGAACAUCCAUAGGGUCAAAUUUUUGGGUGUCCGUGGGGUGUCUGGGGGUGUCCUUGGUGUGUCCGGGGUGUCCUGGGCGCUGACCAUCCUGUCCCAGCUGGAGGAGACGCUGCAGCUGCGCACGGAGAGUCGCCAGGGCAGCCUGAGGGGGGACAGCCUGCGAGGGGACAGCCUGAGGGGGGACAGCUUGAGAGGGGACAGCCUGCGUGGCACCAGCAUCUGCUCUGCCAUGAGCGAGGAGCCCGAGGGCCGCAGUUACUCCACGCUCUCCACGGUGCGGGAGAUCGAGACGCAGACCGACGUCCCCGUGGUUGUCCCCGCUGUCCCCGCGGUGCCACCAGCGCCCGGCGGGAAGGAGCCCAAGGAGGAGGAGGAGGAGGGUGGGGGCGGCGGGGGGGACCCCAUCAAGGCGGCCAUGACGCACUUUGUGCAGGAGAACGGCAUGCUGCAGGCCAAGCCCAGCUCCAACGGCAUCUACAUCAACGGCCGCGGCCACCUGGUGUGAGCCGGGCCCCGGGGGGACACCUGGGGACACCUGGGGACACCUGGGGACAGCCAGCCCCCCUCGCACCCGCCCGGCUCUAUCCCCACUGCUCCGGUCCCCGGGUGUCACCUCCCCGCUGGUGUGGGGUCAAGGAUGGACUUCAGUCCCCUGGUGUCACCUCCCUGAUGCUGUGGGGCUGGGGACAAGGACAAUGUCCCAGGACUGUGUCACCUCCCUGCUGGUGUGGGGUCAAGGAUGGACUCUGGUCUUUGGUGUCACCUCCCUGCUGGUGCGGAGCUGGGGACAAGGAUGGACUCUGGUCCCCAAGUGUCACCUCCCUGCUGGUGUGGGGACAAGAUGGACUCUGGGCCCCAAGUGUCACCUCCCUGCUGGUGUGGGGUUGGGGACAAGGACAGUGCCCCAGGACUGUGUCCCCUCCCUGCUGGUGUGGGGUCAAGGAUGGACUCUGGUCCCCAAGUGCCACCUCCCUGCCAUCACAGGGAGGACAGGAUUGGGGACAAGCUCCUGUCCCCAGGUGCCACCUCUCUGCUGUCACAGCCUUGGGGACACCACCAAGUCCAGGACAAGCUCCUGUCCCCAGGUGCCACCAACCAGGGCCUGGGGACACUUGUGGUGACACUGGGGACCCCCAGGACCCUCCAAACUCCCCAGGACCAGGAGCCCCCUUGUCCCCCCCAACCUGGGUGGCACUGGGGACAGCCAUGUCCCCUCUCCCAUGGGUUGGUGGCACUGGGGACAGCCGUGUCCCCUUUCCCAUGGGUUGGUGGCACUUGGGGACAGCCGUGUCCCCUCCCCCCCGGGUGGGGGAGGGGCUGUACAGCCGUGUAUAGACCCUGUAAAUAAAGGACCCGCGGGACUGGGACCGGUGUGACA